CCUACGGGUGGCAGCAGUGAGGAAUAUUGGUCAAUGGGCGGGAGCCUGAACCAGCCAAGCCGCGUGCGGGAAGAAGGUACAGCGUAUCGUAAACCUCUUUUGUCAGGGAACAAAGGCGGGGACUAGUCCCCGGUUGAGGGUACCUGAAGAAAAAGCAUCGGCUAACUCCGUGCCAGCAGCCGCGGUAAUACGGAGGAGGCGAGCGUUAUCCGGAUUUAUUGGGUUUAAAGGGUGCGCAGGCGGCCUGUUAAGGCAGGGGUGAAAGGCCGGGGGUCAACCCCGGCGAGGCCGUUGAAACUGGCGGGCUUGAGUUGGAGAGAGGUAGGCGGAAUGCGCGGUGUAGCGGUGAAAUGCUUAGAUAUCGCGAAGAACCCCGAUUGCGAAGGCAGCGUACCGGCUCCACACUGACGCUGAGGCACGAAAGCGUGGGUAUCGAACAGGAUUAGAUACCCUUGUAGUC
rnacentral:rRNA from 1 species